CUAUAAAAAACAUAGUUGUAGAAACUGGAUCCAACUUGCUAAUAAGACUUGCAAUUGGAUGGUAAACAGAUCCGGAUUGAGGUAAUAGUUGAAUUGAUUUAUCUGGAUUUUAAAAUUGUCUUUAAAAAAAUUAUGAAUCUUUUAAUUUAAUUAAUUGAAAUCGGAUCAAUGAUGUAAUUAGCUAAAUCAAGAAUUGGUGACCUGCUUUGUUCGACUACCACUAUGACAAAAAGCAAACAUUAAAACCCAAAAAUUAAUAGUAGUAGUGCUAAAAUAGUUGAAGGAAACGACAAGGUUCAGUGUCGUAAGUAAGGUUGAUUCUCGUUUUAAGUUUCUUUUUUGAACAGAAAAGAAACAGAAAAUAAAUUAUUAAAAGGAAGAAGAAGAAAGGGAAGGGGGAAGAUCAACUAUGGGGUACGUAUUGAGGGUAAGAUUGGCGUCAUUCUUCACGGGGACUGCUACGGCGUCGUUUCUCGGCCUCUACAUCCUCUACAAAGAUUACAAGGUGAAAAGUCUUCAUGAGCCUCUGAAUAGGCGAAUAUUUGCUCUGGAAAGUUUGAAACAUGCUGAAACUUCACAGCACGUGGAUGCUACGAAGUAAGUCCUUGGGGGCAAAAAGAAUUUUGCUAUAAGCGCGAUUGUUCCUCAGUAAUGUUCUUAUUUUCCUCGACUAGUGAUACUAAAUAAUUGUAGUUGAACUAUUAUGUUCUUUACGGAACGAUAGUACACUCUGCAAAUUGACAUGAACAGUGAUUUCAUAUGAAAUUUAAGCUAAAGAGAAUUCAGUCUGUCUGUGA